GGGGGUAUAGCUCAGUGGUAGAGCAUUUGACUGCAGUUCAAGAGGUCCCCAGUUCAAGUCUGGGUGCCUGUA
rnacentral:tRNA from 1 species